rnacentral:rRNA from 1 species
AGAGUUUGAUCCUGGCUCAGGAUGAACGCUAGCGACAGGCUUAACACAUGCAAGUCGAGGGGCAGCGGGGAGUAGCAAUACUUCGCCGGCGACCGGCGCACGGGUGAGUAACACGUGUGCAACCAACCCCGUACCGGGAGAUAACCCGCGGAAACGUGGACUAACAUCCCAUGAUACUCGAGGGCCGCAUGGCUCUCGAUUUAAAAUUCCGGUGGUACGGGACGGGCACGCGCGACAUUAGGUAGUUGGCGGGGUAACGGCCCACCAAGCCGACGAUGUCUAGGGGUUCUGAGAGGAAGGUCCCCCACACUGGAACUGAGACACGGUCCAGACUCCUACGGGAGGCAGCAGUGAGGAAUAUUGGUCAAUGGGCGAAAGCCUGAACCAGCCAAGUCGCGUGAGGGAUGAAUGGUCUAUGGCCUGUAAACCUCUUUUACGAGAGAAGAAUAAGGAGGACGUGUCCUUCGAUGCCAGUAUCUCGUGAAUAAGCAUCGGCUAACUCCGUGCCAGCAGCCGCGGUAACACGGGGGAUGCGAGCGUUAUCCGGAUUUAUUGGGUUUAAAGGGCGCGUAGGCGGGAUGCCAAGUCAGCGGUAAAAGACUGCAGCUAAACUGUAGCACGCCGUUGAAACUGGUGACCUGGAGACGAGUCGAGGGAGGCGGAACAAGUGAAGUAGCGGUGAAAUGCUUAGAUAUCACUUGGAACCCCGAUAGCGAAGGCAGCUUCCCAGACUCGGUCUGACGCUGAUGCGCGAGAGCGUGGGUAGCGAACAGGAUUAGAUACCCUGGUAGUCCACGCCGUAAACGAUGCUCACUGGAUCUUGGCGAUACACUGUCAGGGUUCAAGCGAAAGUAUUAAGUGAGCCACCUGGGGAGUACGUCGGCAACGAUGAAACUCAAAGGAAUUGACGGGGGCCCGCACAAGCGGAGGAACAUGUGGUUUAAUUCGAUGAUACGCGAGGAACCU